UACCAUGGUGGUAACGGGUAACGGGGUGUUAGGGCACGACACCGGAGAGGGAGCCUGAGAAACGGCUACCACAUCCAAGGAUGGCAGCAGGCGCGCAAAUUACCCAAUCCCGACACGGGGAGGUAGUGACAAUAAAUAACAAUACGGGGUUCUUUAGGAUCUCGUAAUUGGAAUGAGUACAAUUUAAAUCUCUUAACGAGGAACAAUUGGAGGGCAAGUCUGGUGCCAGCAGCCGCGGUAAUUCCAGCUCCAAUAGCGUAUAUUAAAGUUGUUGCAGUUAAAAAGCUCGUAGUUGAAUUUCGGGGUCAGUAGGUCGGUCGUGCCACUGGUAUGAACUGGUUUUACUGAUUCCUCCCUCUUGAAGAACUGUAAUGCCAUUAAUUUGGUGUUGCAGGGAAUCAGGACUGUUACUUUGAAAAAAUUAGAGUGUUUAAAGCAGGCUUUAGCUUGAAUACAUUAGCAUGGAAUAAUGAAAUAGGACGUUUGAUCCUAUUUUGUUGGUUUCUAGGAUUGACGUAAUGAUUAAUAGGGAUAGUUGGGGGCAUUAGUAUUCAAUUGUCAGAGGUGAAAUUCUUGGAUUUAUUGAAGACUAACUACUGCGAAAGCAUUUGCCAAGGAUGUUUUCAUUAAUCAAGAACGAAAGUUAGGGGAUCGAAGACGAUCAGAUACCGUCGUAGUCUUAACCAUAAACUAUGCCGACUAGGGAUCGGAUGAUGUUAAUUUUUUAAUGACUCAUUCGGCGCCUUACGGGAAACCAAAGUGUUU
rnacentral:rRNA from 3 species